CGUCGGAAUCUGGGAGGACCAUCUCCUAAGGCUAAAUACUCUCUAGUGACCGAUAGUGAACCAGUACCGUGAGGGAAAGGUGAAAAGCACCCCGGAAGGGGAGUGAAAUAGAACCUGAAACCGUGUGCUUACAAGUAGUCAGAGCCCGUUAAUGGGUGAUGGCGUGCCUUUUGUAGAAUGAACCGGCGAGUUACGAUUUGAUGCAAGGUUAAGCAGUAAAUGUGGAGCCGUAGCGAAAGCGAGUCUGAAUAGGGCGUUUAGUAUUUGGUCGUAGACCCGAAACCAGGUGAUCUACCCUUGGUCAGGUUGAAGUUCAGGUAACACUGAAUGGAGGACCGAACCGACUUACGUUGAAAAGUGAGCGGAUGAACUGAGGGUAGCGGAGAAAUUCCAAUCGAACCUGGAGAUAGCUGGUUCUCUCCGAAAUAGCUUUAGGGCUAGCCUCAAGUGAUGAUUAUUGGAGGUAGAGCACUGUUUGGACGAGGGGCCCCUCUCGGGUUACCGAAUUCAGACAAACUCCGAAUGCCAAUUAAUUUAACUUGGGAGUCAGAACAUGGGUGAUAAGGUCCGUGUUCGAAAGGGAAACAGCCCAGACCACCAGCUAAGGUCCCAAAAUAUAUGUUAAGUGGAAAAGGAUGUGGCGUUGCCCAGACAACUAGGAUGUUGGCUUAGAAGCAGCCAUCAUUUAAAGAGUGCGUAAUAGCUCACUAGUCGAGUGACACUGCGCCGAAAAUGUACCGGGGCUAAACAUAUUACCGAAGCUGUGGAUUGUCCUUUGGACAAUGGUAGGAGAGCGUUCUAAGGGCGUUGAAGCAUGAUCGUAAGGACAUGUGGAGCGCUUAGAAGUGAGAAUGCCGGUGUGAGUAGCGAAAGACGGGUGAGAAUCCCGUCCACCGAUUGACUAAGGUUUCCAGAGGAAGGCUCGUCCGCUCUGGGUUAGUCGGGUCCUAAGCUGAGGCCGACAGGCGUAGGCGAUGGAUAACAGGUUGAUAUUCCUGUACCACCUAUAAUCGUUUUA
rnacentral:rRNA from 1 species